rnacentral:sRNA from 1 species
GAUGGAAGUUUUGAUGUAUUGAAAACCAAAUUGAGAGCAUCGAAGGCAGAGCUGUGUGUUGUGAGACUACAACUGGAAGAAAUCCAUAAAGAGAAACAAUUUUUGGAGCACAAGAUGGCUGAAGCUGAAGCCAAAUGGAAGUCAUCAGAAGAAGACUACAAGUCACAGAUAACUAAAUUGGAAGUGUGCAUGAAAGAUCUACAGGAACAGCUCAUGUCUGCUAGACAGGUUGGAAUAACUUCAGAAAGACAAAAACAAUUCAGUAAAUGAACUAAUGGAGAAAAUGACAAGUCUAGAAGAUCAGAAAACAUUUCUGUCACAGAAACA